GAAGCGGCAAGAGCUCAAAUUUGAAAGCUGGCCCCCUCGGGGUCCGCAUUGUAAUUUGCAGAGGAUGCUUCGGGAACGGCCCCCAUCUAAGUGCCCUGGAACGGGCCGUCAUAGAGGGUGAGAAUCCCGUCUGGGAUGGGGUGGCCGCGCCCGUGUGAAGCUCCUUCGACGAGUCGAGUUGUUUGGGAAUGCAGCUCUAAUUGGGUGGUAAAUUUCAUCUAAAGCUAAAUAUUGGCCGGAGACCGAUAGCGCACAAGUAGAGUGAUCGAAAGAUGAAAAGCACUUUGAAAAGAGAGUUAAACAGCACGUGAAAUUGUUGAAAGGGAAGCGCUUGCGACCAGACUCGCCCGCGGGGUUCAGCCGGCACUCGUGCCGGUGUACUUCCCCGCGGGCGGGCCAGCGUCGGUUUGGGCGGCCGGUCAAAGGCCUCUGGAAGGUAACGCCUCUCGGGGCGUCUUAUAGCCAGGGGUGCCAUGCGGCCUGCCCGGACCGAGGAACGCGCUUCGGCUCGGACGCUGGCAUAAUGGUCGUAAGCGACCCGUCUUGAAAC
rnacentral:rRNA from 1 species